GGGCUGGCAAGUCAGAGAUGAGUGUUGGUCCAGUCCUUCAGGCUGCAACCUGACAGACUGCACCAAGGUCUGAGGGAGAUGACUCUGCCAGCUUUUUUGUAGUUGUCCAAAUAUUCUGCAAGGUCAGAUGGAAUCUUCCAUGCCAGUAGAAGGAUGAAAGUGGAAGAGCUGUACAGGCUGCGGUCUUCCAUUGAUGGGAUGUUAGCAGUUGAUUGAUGACAAAUGAGUACGGUCUAGUGAACAUUACCCAAAAAGACAACUGGCUUUACUCACUAAGUUUUGAAGACUACUGAGGAAGAUCACUCUUGGGCCUGCUGCUCUGGAAUAUUUAAUUCUACAUGAUAUAGUGCACUGAGUAUGCUUGAACUAUAUUCCACAUUAGUCCCAGGAUGUAAGGAAGCCUUCUCUGAUAGUCUACUGAAGAAGAGCACUCUGGUUUUCUGUCACUGAAAUAAAUGACGUUACCCAGGCAUUCAGCAGUGAAUUUAUGUGGUCUUUUCUCCACCUUUGAACCAGGAUUUAUGGAUGUAAUUCUGAACAUCCAUCUGGCAAGAGAUGUAUCAUUCCAUGUAUUAGAUAUCAGUUGCUCCUUUUGGUGACUGAAAAAUUCUGAGCAGACUAUUUGAUUGUGGAAUCUGGCCCUUAAAAUGAU